UUGGAGGGCAAGUCUGGUGCCAGCAGCCGCGGUAAUUCCAGCUCCAAUAGCGUAUAUUAAAGUUGUUGCAGUUAAAAAGCUCGUAGUUGAACUUCGGGAUUUGCCCAUUGGUCAGGCUUAACUGUCUGCACUGGUGUGACGAGUUCCUACCUUCUGAGGAAUCUCCAUGUCAUUCAGUUGGUGUGGGGGGAAAUCAGGACUGUUACUUUGAAAAAAUUAGAGUGUUUAAAGCAGGCAUCCGUCUGAAUACAUUAGCAUGGAAUAAUAAAAUAGGGCGGUUUGGUUCUAUUUUGUUGGUUUCUAGGAUCACCGUAAUGAUUAAUAGGGAUAGUUGGGGGCAUUAGUAUUCAAUUGUCAGAGGUGAAAUUCUUGGAUUUAUUGAAGACUAACUACUGCGAAAGCAUUUGCCAAGGAUGUUUUCAUUAAUCAAGAACGAAAGUUAGGGGAUCGAAGACGAUCAGAUACCGUCGUAGUCUUAACCAUAAACUAUGCCGACUAGGGAUCGGACGAAGUUAAUUUUUUAAUGACUCGUUCGGCGCCUUACGGGAAAC
rnacentral:rRNA from 1 species